GGAAAAACCCCAGGACUUAGGAUUGAAGUUCAUUACAGAUUGAACAUUCGAAUUCAUCGCAAGAAAUUGGAUUUUUUUUUAUAGCUUCUGAGUUUGAUAUUCGCCAAUAGCAGUUUGUGAAUAGAUUUCCAUGUACUGGUACAGGUACAGGGGGUUUUAACUGACAACGUGCAAUGCUAACUUUUAUUCUCUACCCAGAUUUAGUAUCUACUUGCAUUUGUUUAAUCAAAUGAUAAUGGGAUGAAUGUCACUGUUGUGUAUAUUUAGCUGUUAACAGCAAUAGCACUGUAUUAAUCCUGUUUUACCGGGUAUAUAUGUAUCUCACGGAUACUUUUUGUAUUAGACUUGAAUACUUGAAUAUACUUGAAUUUC
rnacentral:misc_RNA from 1 species